UCUUUGUUAACUAUUGUUGGAAUUUUCAAUACAUAUAUAAUAUGUGGUUUAUCCUUGAAAUCAGAACUUACAUACAGAAAGCGAUUUGAUUAUACCAUAGACGAGGCUCAAACCAUAAAAGAGACUUUAUUUUCUACUUUAGUAGUAAAUGAAAUAAUGUGUGCAGCUGUAUGCAGUCAAACUGUAAACUGCAUUGCGUUUCUGUUCAACAUUAAAUCAAAACAAUGUCUCUUGUUGAAUGCUUUGCAAACGGUCGGAUCAUCCGAAAUCUCAGAGGAGAGAUGUUGGUCUUACUUCGAAAUGUUUGUUGAUUGCCCCGAAGGAUGGAAAGAAUAUGCAAUGAAUUGCUACGGAUUCUUUACAGAUAAAAAAGACUGGAACGCGGCAAAUAGCUAUUGUGAUUCCUUUGAUGCUCAUCUCGUGGCAAUAGAAAACGAAGAAGAACACAAUUGGAUUUUUGAUCAAAUAAAAUAUUAC